UUGGCAGCACAUAUAUACUAAAUAUACUAAAGUUGGAAUGAUACAGAGAUUAGCAUGGCCCCUGCAGAAGGAUGACAUGAAAAUGUUAUCAAAGAGUAGGCAAUAUUU